rnacentral:tRNA from 1 species
AGUUAGGUAGAGCAACUCGUUUACACACCGAGAAGGUCUACGGUUCGAAUCCGUAUAGCCCUA